rnacentral:rRNA from 1 species
GAUGAACGCUGGCGGCGUGCCUAAUACAUGCAAGUCGAGCGAACAGACGAGGAGCUUGCUCCUCUGACGUUAGCGGCGGACGGGUGAGUAACACGUGGAUAACCUGCCUAUAAGACUGGGAUAACUUCGGGAAACCGGAGCUAAUACCGGAUAACAUGUUGAACCGCAUGGUUCAACAGUGAAAGACGGUCUUGCUGUCACUUAUAGAUGGAUCCGCGCCGCAUUAGCUAGUUGGUAAGGUAACGGCUUACCAAGGCAACGAUGCGUAGCCGACCUGAGAGGGUGAUCGGCCACACUGGAACUGAGACACGGUCCAGACUCCUACGGGAGGCAGCAGUGGGGAAUCUUCCGCAAAGGGCGAAAGCCUGACGGAGCAACGCCGCGUGAGUGAAGAAGGUCUUCGGAUCGUAAAACUCUGUUAUUAGGGAAGAACAAAUGUGUAAGUAACUAUGCACGUCUUGACGGUACCUAAUCAGAAAGCCACGGCUAACUACGUG